CGCGUAGGCGGGUGAUACAGUCAGAUGUGAAAUUCCCGGGCUUAACCUGGGGGCUGCAUUUGAUACGUAUUGUCUUGAGUUCGGAAGAGGGUCGUGGAAUUUCCAGUGUAGAGGUGAAAUUCGUAGAUAUUGGAAAGAACACCGGUGGCGAAGGCGGCGACCUGGUCCGACACUGACGCUGAGGCGCGAAAGCUAGGGGAGCGAACA
rnacentral:rRNA from 1 species